UACGGAGGGGGCUAGCGUUGUUCGGAAUUACUGGGCGUAAAGCGCGCGUAGGUGGCUUCGUAAGUCCGUUGUGAAAGUCAAAGGCUCAACCUUUGAAAGCCGAUGGAUACUGUGAAGCUAGAGUACGGAAGAGGCGAGUGGAAUUCCUGGUGUAGCGGUGGAAUGCGCAGAUAUCAGGAGGAACACCAAUAGCGAAGGCAGCUCGCUGGGACGUUACUGACACUGAGGCGCGAAAGCGUGGGGAGCGAACAGG
rnacentral:rRNA from 1 species